GCUCUUCUAGUAUACUCAUUACAAUUGACUUCCAAUCAUUAAAAUCUGGAUCAAAACCAGAGAAGAGCA
rnacentral:tRNA from 1 species